GACGAACGCUGGCGGCGUGCUUAACACAUGCAAGUCGAACGGAAAGGCCCUGCUUUUGUGGGGUGCUCGAGUGGCGAACGGGUGAGUAACACGUGAGUAACCUGCCCUUGACUUUGGCAUAACUUCAGGAAACUGGGGCUAAUACCGGAUAGGAGCUCCUGCUGCAUGGUAGGGGUUGGAAAGUUUCGGCGGUUGGGGAUGGACUCGCGGCUUAUCAGCUUGUUGGUGGGGUAGUGGCUUACCAAGGCUUUGACGGGUAGCCGGCCUGAGAGGGUGACCGGCCACAUUGGGACUGAGAUACGGCCCAGACUCCUACGGGAGGCAGCAGUGGGGAAUAUUGCACAAUGGGCGGAAGCCUGAUGCAGCAACGCCGCGUGCGGGAUGACGGCCUUCGGGCUGUAAACCGCUUUCGCCUGUGACGAAGCGUGAGUGACGGUAAUGGGUAAAGAAGCACCGGCUAACUACGUG
rnacentral:rRNA from 1 species